rnacentral:rRNA from 1 species
CCUACGGGAGGCUGCAGUGAGGAAUAUUGGUCAAUGGGCGCGAGCCUGAACCAGCCAAGUCGCGUGAGGGAGGACUGCCCUACGGGUUGUAAACCUCUUUUGCCGGGGAGCAAUGCCCGUCACGUGUGGCCCCCCUGAGAGUACCCGAAGAAAAAGCCUCGGCUAACUCCGUGCCAGCAGCCGCGGUAAUACGGAGGAUGCGAGCGUUAUCCGGAUUUAUUGGGUUUAAGGGGUGCGUAGGCGGAAUGUUAAGUCAGUGGUAAAAUGGCGGGGCUCAACCCCUCUCCGCCGUUGAAACUGGCGGUCUGGAGUGGAAGAGAAGUAGGCGGAAUGCGUGGUGUAGCGGUGAAAUGCAUAGAUAUCACGCAGAACUCCGAUUGCGAAGGCAGCAUGCCGGCGCCCAACUGACGCUGAAGCACGAAAGCGUGGGUAUCGAACAGGAUUAGAUACCCGUGUAGUC